rnacentral:misc_RNA from 1 species
GAUGAAGAACGUAGCGAAAUGCGAUAAGUAAUGUGAAUUGCAGAAUUCAGUGAAUCAUCGAAUCUUUGAACGCACAUUGCGCCCGCCAGUAUUCUGGCGGGCAUGCCUGUUCGAGCGUCAUUACAACCCUCAGGCCCCCGGGCCUGGCGUUGGGGAUCGGCAGAAGCCCCCUGUGGGCACACGCCGUGCCUCAAAUACAGUGGCGGUCCCGCCGCAGCUUCCAUUGCGUAGUAGCUAACACCUCGCAACUGGAGAGCGGCGCGGCCAUGCCGUAAAACACCCAACUUCUGAAUGUUGACCUCGAAUCAGGUAGGAAUACCCGCUGAACUUAAGCAUAUCAAUAAGCGGAGGA